GUCUCAGGCCUUGAAAAAAAACUAGAGCAGCCCAGGCAUGCACCCGUGCGCACACACACGGCUGACACCCCGCGUCCCCGCCGCCGCCGGCCGAGCUGACCCAGGCAUCCAGCGUGCCGCUGCCUGCAGGCGGCCGCCGUCCAACGCCCCUUGCGGCCUCGCCAGCUCGCCCUUCGCUGCCCUCGCCCAGCGCGGCUGAGCCUGCGCGGCCGGCGGGCACCACCCUCGCGGCCUCACUCCCGCCCUGCGCGGCAGCCGCGCAGCUACCCAAACCUGCUGCGCGGCCACCGGAUUUCCGUUCCUCCCCUACCCCGCUCCCUUCCUCCCAGCCAUCGCUGCCAGAUCCAAUGCCGCCGGAGCGCCCUCGACUGCAACACCUCCGGGUAAACUACCUCUCCCCAAAUUUGGAUCUCCUCUCGUCCUAGUGCUCCAGUCCCUGUGGAAGUAAGAGAUCGGCUACUGAGGAUGUACGCUGUUUUCGUUUGCAGCGAGAGGGGAGAAACCUAGGAGAUGAGGCUGGUGGGGUUGACGGGAUCGCGUCCGGGAAGAGCACCGUGUCCAACCUCUUCAAGGACGCCGGAGUCCCUGUCGUUGACGCUGACGUCGUUGCUCGGUCUUCUGGCACCACAUAUUUCUUCUGGCAUAUUCUGGGAGAUGGCAAAACUAUGGAUCAAGGGAUGCAAGGUUAUUGUCCUCGACAUCCCGCUGUUGUUCGAAACAAAGAUGAAUAGAUGGACAAAUCCAGUCAUUGUUGUCUGGGUUAAUCCAAAAACCCAGAUCGAGAGGCUCAUGUCAAGGGACAGGUGCUCUGAAGAACAAGCUCAGAACAGGAUCAACGCACAGCUUGCUCUUGACUAGAAGAAGUCGGAAGCGGACAUAGUGAUCGACAAUUCUGGAUCACUGGAUGACACCAAACAUCAGUUUCAGGAGGUGUUGAGGAAAGUCUUUGAGCCCUUGACAUGGAAGGAGCGCUUGCGAUCUCGAGACGGUCUGAUCUCUGUUGUCAUGUGUACAGUAGUGGGAGUACUACUUGCUCAGAAGAACCUGCUAUGAUCCUGAUAAGUUUGAGGAGGUUAAAACCAGUGAUGUGUUGUUUCUCGAGACCAGCACAAAUAAGCUUGUGUGGUCUCUUAAGAGUGUGGGCAUUGGAUGGCUGCAUUUGGAACACUUGGUGAUAAAAUAAAUUUUUGUAGUAUGGUUACUGUUUUACCGUAGAAACUACUUGAUGUCGGUGGCAUGUAGCAUGCGUGAGUGGAGAAAGCUGUCCGUCAGUUUUCUCAGUUGCUUUUACUGGAUAAUGGUUCGUGUCAUGGAACUCUGCUUGUUUGUUUUGCUGGGCCAAAUAUUGCUUCAAACCA